rnacentral:rRNA from 1 species
AUUGAACGCUGGCGGCAUGCUUUACACAUGCAAGUCGAACGGCAGCGCGGGCUUCGGCCUGGCGGCGAGUGGCGAACGGGUGAGUAAUGCAUCGGAACGUGCCCAGUAGUGGGGGAUAGCCCGGCGAAAGCCGGAUUAAUACCGCAUACGACCUGAGGGUGAAAGCGGGGGACCGAAAGGCCUUGCGCUAUUGGAGCGGUCGAUGUCGGAUUAGCUAGUUGGUGGGGUAAAGGCUUACCAAGGCGACGAUCCGUAGCUGGUCUGAGAGGACGACCAGCCACACUGGGACUGAGACACGGCCCAGACUCCUACGGGAGGCAGCAGUGGGGAAUUUUGGACAAUGGGGGCAACCCUGAUCCAGCCAUGCCGCGUGCGGGAAGAAGGCCUUCGGGUUGUAAACCGCUUUUGUUCGGGAAGAAAUCCUCUGGGCUAAUACCCCGGGGGGAUGACGGUACCGGAAGAAUAAGCACCGGCUAACUACGUG